AGGGUUUGAUCAUGGCUCAGAUUGAACGCUGGCGGUAUGCUUAACACAUGCAAGUCGAACGGUAACAGCUCUAGCUUGCUAGAGGCUGACGAGUGGCGGACGGGUGAGUAACGCGUAGGAAUUUGCCUUUUAGUGGGGGAUAACCCGGGGAAACUCGAGCUAAUACCGCAUGAUGUCUUCGGACCAAAGCAUGGGACCUUCGGGCCAUGCGCUAAAAGAUGAGCCUGCGUUGGAUUAGCUAGUUGGUGGGGUAAAGGCCUACCAAGGCGACGAUCCAUAGCUGUUCUGAGAGGAUGAUCAGCCACACUGGGACUGAGACACGGCCCAGACUCCUACGGGAGGCAGCAGUGGGGAAUAUUGGACAAUGGGCGCAAGCCUGAUCCAGCAAUACCGCGUGUGUGAAGAAGGCCUUAGGGUUGUAAAGCACUUUCAGUAGGGAGGAAGGGUUUAUUGUUAAUAGCAAUGAACAUUGACGUUACCUACAGAAGAAGCACCUGCUAACUCU
rnacentral:rRNA from 1 species